AUUAAACAUCUCCAUCUCUUCCCUUACUAACCCAUGAUACAAAUACACACCAGCUAAACUUCAUGAUUUUAUAAAUAACAUUGACGCUUUGCUUACAUACAUACAUAUAGCGAGAUGGGGUUUCCUUCGGGUCGGUACAAAAACCAGAAAGGUUAGGACUCUGCCAUGUCCUACCUAAAAUCUCAAAAAGAAACCUCGACCCCUAACAUCACAUGAACACAAACCCUCCCAUCACCAGCGUCAACUAUCUACAUCAAAAAGUGAUCUAGCUCCUACUCCUUGCGCGCAGGUCUCACACCCAACCCGGUGCAUCAGGUGGUGGCGGCGGCAGCAUCCCUCGCAUAGCACCAUCUCGACGGACGUGAACAGAAAUGAAUUCUUGUAUGACAGGGCCCCCAGCCAGGCCGAUAUCAUACAUGACCAAGCAUCGUACUCGGAUAAACGUCAAUCCGGGCACAGAGGGACAAUCUAUCUCCGUACACUCCACCUCAACAUCAGACGGUAUACCGUAAAAUACCCCACGCGAAACAGCAGGUAGCGGCAUAGUGCUAAUAUGAAAUGUUAUCCCCAAAAGGGGUGAGUACAACCACUCAGCAGAUAGGGAAAUCCAAUAACAUUCCAAUGCAUCAUACAUAUCAUCACACGUUGCAAACAUCACUUACCUUGUAACCAUGCAUAUCAUGCAUCAUCAUUAGCCAUGCAUCACCAUGCAUAUCACAUCAUCAUUAGCCAUGCAUCACCAUGCAUAUCACAUCAUAUCAUCAUUAGCCAUGCAUCACCAUGCAUAUCACAUCAUAUCAUCAUUAACCAUGCAUCACCAUGCAUAUCACAUCAUAUCAUCAUUAGCCAUGCAUUACCAUGCAUAUCACAUCAUAUCAUCAUUAGCCAUGCAUUACCAUGCAUAUCACAUCAUAUCAUCAUUAGCCAUGCAUCACCAUGCAUAUCAUAUCAUCAUUAGCCAUGCAUCACCAUGCAUAUCAUAUCAUCAUUAGCCAUGCAUCACCAUGCAUAUCACAUCAUAUCAUCAUUAGCCAUGCAUCACCAUGCAUAUCACAUCAUAUCAUCAUUAGCCAUGCAUCACCAUGCAUAUCACAUCAUAUCAUCAUUAGCCAUGCAUCACCAUGCAUAUCAUAUCAUCAUUAGCCAAUUUCCACUUUUACUCACCAUGCAUAUCAUAUCAUCAUUAGCCAAUUUCCACUUUUACUUAUCAAUUAAUCCCCACAUUAUCUUUUCUCAAAUGAUCAAUUUCACCAUCAUCACCAUCCCUUCGGGCAGAAACCUCCGACAGGGUAUCAUUAUCAAUCCUUCGGGCAUAAACCUCCGACAGAAUUCCAUGAUCAAUUUGAUCAUCACCCUUCGGGCAGAAACCUCCGACAGGGUUCCCAGUAUCCCAGCCAUCUCAUGGCCAUUGGGCUUCCGGCCCCCCACAUUCCGGGCAUCUCGCAUCUCAACUAGCAUCACGAGGCAUUCCCUUCGGGCAGAAACCUCCGACAGGGCUUCCGACCUUUACCCUUCUAACCGGGGAUCUCGCACCCCAAUCCUGGCAUCGCGAGUCACCUCCGGGCAUGUAUCCAAGAUACAACCGGACUUCCGGCCCCCCACAUUCCGGGCAUCCUGAAACUCCUAGGGAAUCUCUGGAAUUACGCCACCAGGCCACCAGACAACAUCCUCCGCCACAACCUCUUACUCACAUACCACUUUCCACUUUUUAUCAUCCUUUUCAUCUUAUUAUUUCAUGGCAUACGAUUCACACACAUGCAUCAUGAUUCAUAAUCAUACAUGCAUCAAUGCCAUAUAACAAUACAUCAUAAUUCAUGAUCAUUCAUACAUCAAUGCCAUAUAGCAAUACAUCAUAAUUCCAUAGGACUCAUGGCCAAUAAAAUAAUCCGCCUUUUAUUUUAUUAUUAUAUUAUUAUUAUAUUAUUAUAUUAUUAUAUUAUUUAUUUUCAUAAAUAAAUAUUAUAUUUAAUAUUUAUGAUUUUCCAAAAAUCAUAAUCUUCAAUCAAUCAUUAAACAAACAAUUAGAAUCAAAUUUCACAUAAAAUCCGUGGCUAAUUUGCAUUUUACAUAAUUUCCCAAAUUUCCACAAUAUUCGGAAAAUGGCCAGAUUGCACAGUUUUCGAAUUAAUUCAAUUAAAAUACUCAUAUGACCUCCGAAAAUUCCCAAAUUUUACAGGGUGAUAGCCAACACAUUUUCGUGCAUUUUUCAUGUAGAACUCUAAGCCAAAUUAUUUAUAUAUUAAUUUAUACAACUCCAUGAAGCUUCUGGAACCUCUACCGUUUCGUCCAGAACGUACAUCACCGAAAAACUUAGGUUUGACCCAUCAAAUCUCUUUCGUUUCUUCUGAAAUUCGAGUAUGUUAUGUAUCAAUGUGUCCUUUACAAGUUUCAUGAAGAGAUCUAGGUUAAAUAACCAAAUUAUGAUCCUCUUUUAGGUCCUUGAAGUCUCGGGUGUCUCGGUUCACUUCAACAGAACCAUCCGUCUCAAAGAUCUAGCCGAUUAACUAGGCUACACUUGUUCAUUUCUUUUCAAAUUUGAGUAUGUUGUAUUUUAGGAUGUUACCAACAACUUCCAUGAAGACAACAAAGUGAGAUCUCCAACAGAAAUCAACAUGCAACCAAGAAAUCAUCAAGAGGUCAGUAGGAAAUUCGCAGAUCUAAAGCGUCCGUGAAAUAGAACUUUUGACCCCUCAUAUCACCAUCGUUUUCCAUGAAAUUCUAGUAUGUCAUACCUCAAGAUGUUAGAUUCAACUUUCAUGAAGAAACCGAAGCCAAAAUCACACUCCAAGUACACAUGCAAGCUCGAAUAAGAAACUGUCUACCACAAACCGAACGGAAACAGCCACAUUACAUGAACACAUGCAACCCUUACCUCGGUUCUUCGCCCAAACCACACCUAAAAUCUAACAUGCAACCAUCAAAAACAACAUGCAAGAGAAGUUAUGGACCCCCACUUGCCUUAAAGAAGAACACACAGCAACACACGGCGGCGUAGGACGGUCGGACGGCGGACGAACGGCGGCACCUCCCUCUCGGCUCCGCCUCCUUCCCUCUCGGUCUCUC
rnacentral:lncRNA from 1 species